UAAAUACUCCCUCCGUUCGGAAAUACUUGUCUUAGAAAUGGUUGUAUCUAGAACUAAAACAAGUAUUUCCGAACGGAGGGAGUACAUG
rnacentral:pre_miRNA from 1 species